GAGCAAUGGGCUGAGACUAUCUGGCUUGUUUCCUGAGCGAUCUUCCACUGUACGCGCUAUAUAGCAAGGAGCACGGGCUUCCUCCCUUCCUUAGCCUUGCGGCGCACGGGCUGUGUGUUCUCCCAGGCUGCGCUGCACCAGGAGCCCGCUGAUUCCCAGAGCCGCCUGCUUCCACCCCGGCUCUUGCCAUCCGCUCGAGCCCUUGACGGACUUGGAUCCCUUUUUGCGUCUCUGCGCCCUUCACCUGUCAGGAAGGCUGACGCGCCCCUGCCAAGCAGCCAGCGCCCACUGGCAAGCCUGCCGGCUCCUCUCCUGCCACCUUCCUGCCGGGCUCGCAGUCGGCGGCGGCAGCGCCCCGCGCCCCCUCCCGCGCGCUCGCACCGCCGCGGAGUUCCCCCCUCGCCGGUUCUCUCUCCAACAUCAAAGUUUUCCUCCCUCCUCCGAGCCCCCUCCCCGCCCCCGAGCCCUUAUUACUGCGCAGCCAGUGCACAGAGGGCUGGCAGCGCGGCGAGCAGAUUACAGCGAUUAGCUGCAGGAGAAGCGGCAGCGCCUCGCCGGCUCCCCGCGCUGACCCUGCCCGCUGAGGCCCCGGGGAGUCCAGGGCAGCUUCCCCUGUAGGCGGCGGCGAAGACGGGGAUUGAGAGUCGAGCCGCGCGGCGCGACCCAGCAGCGGGGCUUGGAACCGUGCGGGGCUCGGAGCUGCAGCGCGGCUGAGGCUCCGCCGAGGUGGCUCGGGACCGCGAGAGUUUGUCAUUCACUGGUUGGCUCAUAAUCAAUGCUGUCAAGUGAUAUGAAAAGUAUUGGGAAGAGGGAAUAAGAAGUGAGCUGCAUCCACAGAGGUGUGUGUGAUAAAAGGCUCCGCUUGCACACCAGGAUCCAGGAAUUCCCAAAAGAAAUUUUUUGUUCAGAAAAGCAGAGCGGGAGUACAGUGCACUCAGCUUCAUUGGAAACUGUCUCCACCUUCAACUAAAAAGGAAGAUGGGGAUAUAAUUCACCUGACACACUUGAAGCAGCUGUCAUUUGGCUAGCUGACAGAGAGACAAGACAAUAGGAAUGCAUCAUUCUGUGACAUCACAGCAAACUCAACUGGAGUAUGAAGAGACCCUCAACAGUUUGAUCUGCCUUGAGUGAAGUUCAAUAGAAAAUGCUACAGCAGUUUUGUCUCUGGGAAUGGUUGGUUGUAGGAAUUGCGAUUGCUACUGUUUUCACCAAUUGUUUGGCCCAGAAUGAUGAUGGUAAGCAUGUUUUUAUUUUACAUGUUACACAAAGAUACUAUAGUAUAUGGAAAAAAUGUUUACCCAGACAAUUUGGUAUUUAAUGGAAUGAGCUAUUAAUAUAUGCUGCUUUAAGAAGACAAGUUACAAAUGAAAGGAUAACAAUAUAUGGCCCUUGUAUGCUUAACUGUCACAACUGU